AAUAGUGUUCAUUCUAUACUUGCACAUUGCAGAAAUCUUGCCGAAAACAACUUGAGCGGGAGUCUUCCUUGUUCCAUUUCAAGCAUGGUUUCUCUUAGCUACCUGUGAGUGGCUUGUCUUGAAUGCAUUGAAAUUUUGUCAAAAGUCACAAGUUCCAUGCGUGCUUCAACUAUCAAACAAUGCUUAUGUGUAAGCAAGGAUGUCCACAGCGCACACCUUUUAAAGCCCUAUCAACUGCCACAAAAAAUGGUGACUUUCUUCCGUAUCCAAUUUCCUAUCCUACCUAGUUUCUUCAAGAAAUGGGAAAAUCCAAGAAGACCCAGCAUAAAGAUCAAGACUUGACGCUGAGAAGAUCUGCUAGAUUGGCAGACAAGUUCAAGAAACUACCAGAAGAGUUAAUCCUUAAAAUCCUGUCCAAAAUCCGGCAAGACCCCAAAACUCUCAUACGCUGUUCCUCUGUUUCCAAGAACUUGCAUUCUCUCAUCUCCAAAUUUGACAGUAUCUCCCUCAGAUUAUCGUAUCCUGAUGAGGACUAUGCUUCUCUUCCAUGCUUCCAUUCACAUCACCACAUCCCACAAGCGGUCGUUCCUGGUAUCAUAAGGGUUUUUUCAAAUCUCAAGUUUCUUCAACUUAAUCUCUGUCCGUGCCCUUCUCCGUCUUCUGAAGAUGGAGAAAUGUCCUGGUUGAAGUUCUUGCGUCAUAAUGAUGACGAUGAUUAUAUGAACUGCGAAAUAACGGUUGCUUUCGAAGUUGGGUUCUUGUCUGGGACUCGCACAAGCGGAGAUUUACCUCUGAAAUUGAGGCCCCAGAUUGUGAAUACUGGCGUGGUUGAAAUGAAUCUUCUCAUUGUUAAUACGAUAUUGCAGCAUUGCCCGAAAACGCUGAGGAGCUUGGUGGUUUCGAGUGCGAAGAUGCAGGGGUCUGGAUCAAAAGGGGAGGUUUUUGUUAGACAAGAAGUGAUGGGAAAGUUGGCUGAUGUGGUUUCAAGUUUGAGGGGUUAUGAGAGUUGGGUUAAAUGGCUUAAUGACCCGAGGAAUGUGGCUUAUUGGCUUAAGAAUCCACUUAACGAUGAGCAUCGUUGUCUUAGAGAAAUUAUGUGGGCUGUUCGUCGUGUAGAAUUGCCAUGGCCAUGGGAGGAGCGCAAUGAGCUAGUUGUUAGAGAAGGUGAUGUGAAGGAGUUAUUGAGUGUUUAUGAUUAUAAUGAUGAGCAACAACGAGGAGAUGGAAAUUAACUUCUUGAAGGUGGCAAAGUCAGUGGUAGUUCUUUCAAAGAGUGCAGAUGAUUGAUGAGCUGCUUGAAGUACCAUUGUGGUUCAAGAAGUGAUUACAGAAUCUUCAUCUAGAACCCUACAAGAGCACAGGUGGUUGGUGGACUGUUUUAUGUACUGAUAUGGUCGAUGAACUGAUGCAAAAUUUUGGGGAGAGAAACUUGCUGGCAGAUUUUGUGAGGCACGGGAAAAAUGCUCAGCGUUUUUUUCUGAUUAUUUGUUCUUGAGCUUCCUUUGUUGAUAUUCAUCAACUCCAGAUUUUCAUGUGUUUUAGAUGAUUCCAAUCUACAUUAUGUGGGCGAAAAAUGAGUGAUGAGAGUGAAACAAGAACGAUGUUUUCCACCUCUCAAUUUCGAACACAGUUGAAUACCACUCUUGCAUGUGGUUUUGGUCUCCUGUUGUCAAGUAAGGGUAACGGGUGAUGGGGUGACAGCAACUGUAGUUGUUUUCACUGUACAAUUAUGGCGAUGGAGUUGUGGAUGUUGAUGGCAUCAGUAUACUUGUCAAUUUAAGAAGUAUGGUUACAGCGCAGCACGAUUUCAGUCGUUUUGUUCUGUUCUCAGCAGUUUCACCAAUAUUUGUUGCUCAUCCUUUGCUUCAUCUGUUCAGCCACACCUUGGACGAGAAGUACGUUUUAUUUCUCUGCAGAGUGCAAAUGGCAGAUGAAGAGCUCCAUGGACAAACAAGGCUGAAGGGUUGAUUGCAUAAUCUUUGAUUAUGAAUUCAAUGGUUCAUCACCACCUUAAAGAACAGAAGAGCUCUGUAGACCUUUUUCUGUUGAAUAAUCUUGUGUUUAGGUUUCUCUAACCCGAAGGGUUAGAAGCCUAGAUUAUUGGAUGAUUAAUCUAUCUUAUCUUAUAUAUAUUUUUUCCAUUUAUCA